rnacentral:lncRNA from 1 species
UAUGAACAAUACUGUACACUUAUAAACUGGUGAAGAGGAUAUCUCAUGUUAUUUUUUUACCAUAAUAAAAAAUCCUUAACAUAUGUUCAUUUUAUAUCUACAUGAGAGUCAUAAUUUUACCAUUUUUAAAAUAAAUAAUCCUUUGAUAGAAUAAAUGUACAGAUUUGUGUGUGCCUCUGUGCAUGAGUUGGCUUUGUUGUUUAGGCAUUAGAAACAGGUCCCUGGGCCAAAUAACAUGGACCAUGUAACAACUUGGGCUCAUCUUAAAGCAUCUUGGUUAUUUCCAUUUUGCCAACGGGAGCCACUAGAGGGCUAGAAGCAGAAAAGGGAAAUGGGUGGGAUUCUAUAAUUCACUCUGGGUCCUCCAUGGAGAACAGAACAGAUUGGAGGGGGGCAGAAAGCAGGUGAGAAGAUGAGUUUCCUUAAUUGUUUAUUUAAGUUCCAACUAUAGAAAGUGAGUCCUUGGAGUCAAGAAUGUGCAUCUCUCACAAGCACUUUAAACUUGCUUUGCAUGCAGUAGUGAUAAAUUAUGUAGCAGGUGAUGGAUCUGUUUUGAACGACAGCCUUCCCAAAUCUACACACAGGUAAAUACACGGGUAGAAGUAUCUUUCAUAAAAUACUACUUUCAUUUGGUGAUGGAAAUUACUUAUACAUAUAUCUUUCCUCUCCCAGCAUUUACUCACACACAACCUUAGGGAAUAGUUUGGGAGCCCAGAAGUGAGAGGGGAAUAAGUUUGUUUGUUUUUCUGUGUGAGGGCAGGACCCACUCAGCAAGGCGCUUCCCUGAUGUGCAGAGGUGGGUUAGGGGUUGGGAGAGAGGCUUGGGAGGCAAUGAUUCUGGUGUCCCUCUCUCUUUCCCUUCCUUUCAAGCUCCCAUGUCCAGGACUUUCACUUGUCCUGAGAAGCGAAGGAGUUGAAGUUUUUCUCUUCCCUUCUUUUCCAGAAGCCACCAACCCUUCCAGGAAAAACAAGAAUGAGGUCAUAGAACUGUAGAAUGCAGGCUCUGGAAGUGACCAGCUGGUGAACAACGUUCUGGUGUUUGAGGGUCUCAGAUAGGGUGUUAUCUGGGCAGGGUCCUGAUCACCUGACAUAGUAGAUCAUGGAGAGGUCAUAGGGGAGGAAGAAGCCAAACCCAGGGGGCACUCCUGAGCAGGAUCAAGACCAACAGAGGGGAACUUAUAGGGGAAUGUUGAGAGGGCAUGAAGUUCCUGUUUCCAUCCCUAUCAGGGCCAGACUUCCUGCUGCUUCCUGACUCUGGGAUUCAGGACAUCCUGGGCUAGUAACUGCAGGAAGUGCCUGGGCAGAGUUAGGGUGGGAGCCCUGGAGGGGUUGAGACCACCUCCUAAGAGACCAGAAGGCCCCCGACAGAAAUGUCAGAAAGCAUACAAAGAGGAAAAACCUGUUGCAGAAUGAAAUUGAAAAUCAGCUCAGAUGGAGAAAGACAAAAACCAUCCCUGCAGGGAUGGGUGGGGCUCAGGUUGGGUGAGGGGACCGAUACAAAGUUAAAAGGAAAGUUUUCUUUUCUCCCAAGGUCUCACAACAGAUGUAAAAUGCCAUAAGGACCCCCUUCUUUGUGUGAUUAAUGCUUUCUUAUCAGUAAUGCCCAGAGAAUUACUAUGUUAUUCCAUUUAAUUACUAGGGAAACUCCUGGCUAAACUGUCCUCAACUCAUAGGACUACUCAAUCCCUUGUUAUCACCUGAAGGUGGAUGCAGAACAUUAGUCUGAUGAUGGUGGCACACCCUGGAAGGUCCUGGACAUCCCUGACCAACAUCAUUGACCUUGGAUGUCACGAGACCCUUUCCCAGGCUCCUCCCACUCUGCACUGGGGGCUGGCAUUGUCGCUCCUGUGGAUAAUGUCUGUCCAAUCCACCUGGCUGAGCCACAGAGCAACAGGAUGUUCUUGCAAAGGCUCUCUGUUCACUGGUCUCUGUACUGCUCCUUUAAGUAGCUUGCAUCAUGCCAACCUCACUAAAAAAUAAGACAAAACAAUUCUACUAUGAAAGUGAG